UACAGGGGGUGCAAACGUUGCUCGGAAUUAUUGGGCGUAAAGAGCUCGUAGGCGGUCUGUCGCGUCGGCUGUGAAAACUCGGGGCUCAACCCCGAGCCUGCAGUCGAUACGGGCAGACUAGAGUUCGGUAGGGGAGACUGGAAUUCCUGGUGUAGCGGUGAAAUGCGCAGAUAUCAGGAGGAACACCGGUGGCGAAGGCGGGUCUCUGGGCCGAAACUGACGCUGAGGAGCGAAAGCGUGGGGAGCGAACAGG
rnacentral:rRNA from 1 species